rnacentral:rRNA from 1 species
CGGCGGACGGGUGAGUAACACGUGGAUAACCUACCUAUAAGACUGGGAUAACUUCGGGAAACCGGAGCUAAUACCGGAUAAUAUAUUGAACCGCAUGGUUCAAUGGUGAAAGACGGUUUUGCUGUCACUUAUAGAUGGAUCCGCGCCGCAUUAGCUAGUUGGUAAGGUAACGGCUUACCAAGGCAACGAUGCGUAGCCGACCUGAGACGGGUGAUCGGCAACACUGGAACUGAGACACGGUCCAGACUCCUACGGGAGGCAGCAGUC